GAUCGACUCACUAGCACACACAGUUUCAUGAUGAGGUAUACAGAAACAAAGGUCAAAAGUACUUUAUUACAUCGCAUCAUCCAGAAUUUAAAUAGUACUUACAACCUCGCAUGACCUCUUGGGCCAGCUUAAAACAAAUACUGUUUCAUCAUCAUAAAACAAUGUUUCAAAACUGCAGCGGAAAAGGGUAUAACAAAAGGGCCUCAACUACUCCAAGGUGAGAGCAUAUUGGAAUGUAAGCACAUGACCCAUGACAAAACGACGAACCUCACUCAUCGUCGGAUCCACCUGCAUUGUUAAUUGCAGCCACUACGUGGUCAAUACAUUUGAAUGUAUUCGCAAGUUCACCAGAAUUAUAAAGGACCUACCAAGUACAUGCUGUAACAUCCCAAAAUUCAAACUUUUACAUGUGCAUUGCAUCCAUGAGCAUCAUGCCACAUUUGCAUAUUUGAAUUAAAAUUUUGAAUCUCAAAAGGGCUUUAAAACAUUUGGUUUACACCCAUUUGAGCUUUGGAUUUUCCAACCAAUAGGGUUUAUGCAUAAAAGGGGUUUAAUGCAUAUAUAAGCUAUCCCAUGAUUCUUGGAUAAUUAUUUGGACUUGAAAAAGUAUUUUAUUUAAAUAGAUAUAUGGCCCUAAAGGCAUUUAUAGAGCAAAUGUAUUUUUAUAUAUUUUAUUUUGGAGAGAAACUACUUCCAAAAGUUGUAUCAUGGUAGAACAUGAUUUUACAAAUUUUCUUGAAUUUAUUUGGACCAAUUUGGAGUUCAAACUCAAAAGUUAUCAAAGAAAUGAGAAAAACAGAAAAAGAAAAGGCCAAAAGAAAAAAAAAAGAGUAAACGGACCGGCCCGGCCGAAUUGGGCCGAACCGGCCCAACAUCUCGCGCGCGCCCGCCGCCCUGCCAGCCCCGCGCCGCACGCCCGCGCCCGCACCCGCUGACAGGUGGGGCCCACUUGUCAGGGGCUUCGUCCUGGCGGGGAAAGCUCCCGCAAUCCCCGCGCCACCUGCCUUGUACACCGCCGCGCGCUCACCGCCGCAAUCUCCUCACUCCGACCUUCCCAAAACGCGCAGCCCGCGUCCCUAUAAAGCCCUCGCCGCCUCGCUUCUUUCCCCUC
rnacentral:lncRNA from 1 species